rnacentral:rRNA from 1 species
UACGGAGGGGGCUAGCGUUGUUCGGAAUUACUGGGCGUAAAGCGCACGUAGGCGGCUUUGCAAGUUAGAGGUGAAAGCCCGGGGCUCAACUUCGGAAUUGCCUUUAAAACUGCAGAGCUAGAAUUGUGGAGAGGUGAGUGGAAUUCCGAGUGUAGAGGUGAAAUUCGUAGAUAUUCGGAAGAACACCAGUGGCGAAGGCGACUCACUGGACACAUAUUGACGCUGAGGUGCGAAAGCGUGGGGAGCAAACAGG